rnacentral:rRNA from 1 species
UGCAAGUCGAACGCUCGUAGCAAUACGGGAGUGGCAGACGGGUGAGUAACGCGUGGGAAUCUACCCAAUGGUACGGAAUAACUCAGGGAAACUUGAGCUAAUACCGUAUGUGCCCGAAAGGGGAAAGAUUUAUCGCCAUUGGAUGAGCCCGCGUCGGAUUAGCUAGUUGGUGGGGUAACGGCCCACCAAGGCGACGAUCCGUAGCUGGUCUGAGAGGAUGAUCAGCCACACUGGGACUGAGACACGGCCCAGACUCCUACGGGAGGCAGCAGUGGGGAAUAUUGGACAAUGGGCGCAAGCCUGAUCCAGCCAUGCCGCGUGAGUGAUGAAGGCCCUAGGGUUGUAAAGCUCUUUCGACGGGGACGAUAAUGACGGUACCCGUAGAAGAAGCCCCGGCUAACUUCGUGCCAGCAGCCGCGGUAAUAC